CUGAAUCUGAAUGACAUGUGCUCUUCCUCUUCUGAUCUGACUUAUCUGACUUAUCUGACUCUGAUAGAAUCAGAAUAGUAAGGAAGGCUACACCGGCAAUGUCCAGCUUGGGAUAUGGCUGAUUUCAUUGAUUCGGAGGCAGAGGAAAGGCUUUGUGAGAGUAAUGGUGAAGAAUCAGAUGGAUCUGGAUUGAAAAAGCGUAAGAGGUCAGAUCAAGAAGAUGACUAUGAUGACCGUUUGGAAGAUGAAGACUAUGAUCUACUGGAAGAAAAUCUUGGACACAGAAUAUCCAGGAAGAAACGUUUCAAUCGUUUCAAGAGAUUGCGUCAAAUAGAGGAUGACGAGUCAGGAGAUGAAAAAGGCCAAGGAGAUGAAGAAAAGGAUGGUGAAGACCUCUACAACUCAGAAUGGGAAGAAGAACGUGGAUCAGAACGAGGGGAAGAUGAAGAUGGUGAAGGAGACUACUCAGAUGCAGAUGAUUUCAUCGUGGAAGAUGAAGGUCGCCCAAUAGCCAGUUGUCAAAAGAAGAAGCCAAUUCUUGCAGAUGCUGCCCUCCAAGAAGCCCAAGACAUAUUCGGGGUGGAUUUCGACUUCGACGAGUUUGACAGAUAUGGCGAUGAAUACGAUGAAGAAGAAGAGGAAGAGGAGGAGGAAGAUGAUGAGUAUAUAGAUGAAGAGGCUGGUGAGGAUGUGGACAGACCUCGAAAAACACGCAAGAAAACAGCUCGCAAAGCGACGCGCAAGUCCAUCUUUGAGUUGUAUGAGCCAAUUGAGCUGAAACGAGGGCAUUUCACCGACUUUGAUAAUGAGGUCGGAAACACAGAUAUUCCUGAAAGAAUGCAACUACGUGAGUUUCCUAUCUUCUCUGUGUGGGAGGGCUCUGAUGAGCUGGAUCAUGAGGCGGAAUGGAUCUACAAACAAGCAUUCUGUAAACCAACAAUAUCUACGCAGGAGAGCCCUGGUGGAGUUGAUCCGCGAUACAAAUCCAGAAAAGGGCCACAGACAAUCGGAAAGAUCAAGAAAGCUCUUGAUUUUAUUAGAAAUCAGCACUUUGAAGUCCCCUUUAUUGCCUUCUACCGGAAAGAACAUGUGCAACCAGAACUGACGAUAAAUGACUUGUGGCGAGUAUACAAGUUCGAUGCUAAGUGGUGUCAACUGAAGGCUCGAAAAAGUGCUCUGCAGAAACAUUUUGAGAAUAUGCAAGAAUUUCAGUCGCAAGAAUUAAUGAAAGGAAGCCUCGAUGCCCCUAUUCCAGAGAAUGUACGGCUGAUCUCAGAUGAGGACGUAGAUCGGCUGAAAGCAGUUCAAACCACAGAGGAAUUGAAGGAUGUACACUCACAUUUCUUGCUACAUUACUCAAAUAUAAUUCCCCUAAUGCUAGAAAAAGAAAGACAGAAGAAGAAAGAGGCUGCAAAGCAAAAACAGCAAGAUAGACCAAAAAAGAAGAAGAUGGUGAUGGAUGAUGAUGGAAACGAAGUAGAGGUUGAGGUAACUGAUGAUGAAGCAGAGCCAGAAACCCAAUCAGAAGAAAAAGAUGAGGAACCAGAGGUGGUCAAACCAGCUGUUCGGCGAAGUCCUUAUAGUCUUUGUCGCAAAGCUGGAAUUGGUGGUUUCGUGAAAAGGUUUGGAUUAUUGCCAGAACAGUUCGCUGAGAACCUGCGAGAUAAGUAUCAACGGAAUGAAGUCAAACAAGAGCCUGUUGGACCUUUGGUGCUAGCAAAAGAAUACACUUCUAGUCGGUUCACGUCUCCUGAAGAUGUAGUGCUAGCAGCCAAAUAUAUGCUAGCCAUGCAGAUUGCCAAAGAGCCACUAGUCAAAAGCUGCGUGCGAGAAACCUUUUUUGAGCAGGCAAAAAUCGAUGUGAGACCAACAAAAAAAGGAAUGAAAGAGAUUGACGAAAACCACAGCUGCUAUGCCAUGAAAUACUUUAAGGGAAAACCAGUCAGGGAUUUAUGGGGAGAGCAGUUUAUGAAACUUCAAAUUGCAGAGCAAGACAAGCUUGUGAACAUAAUAAUAAACGAACAUAUUGAAGGUAUCACCCACAAUUCAUCCUAUGUGGAGGAGGUGAAGCAACUCUUCUAUCGUAAUGAGUGCAGUAAACAUGUCCAAGAAUGGAACAAGCUCAGGUUGGAGGCUGUUGAAAUAGCACUCUCCAAAAUUCUAUUCCCCAAUCUUUGCAAAGAGCUUCGCACAAUCCUAUUAGAUGAAUCGAAAGAAUCUGUACUGAAAAAUUGCUGUGAUAAACUCUUCAAUUGGCUGAAGGUUGCUCCGUUCUCCGUUGAUUUUGAUGGAGACGAUGAGGAGUGGGACACGAGCAAAGGACUCCGAAUCAUGAGUAUAGCCUAUGAGCCAGAUCUCUCCCAAGCAGCAUUUGGCUGUGUGAUCUCCCCAGAAGGUGAAGUUAUUAAGCAUAUAAGGCUUCCAUACGUGUUGAAACGUAAGCAUUCUUUCAGAGUGGAUGACAAAGCUCUCAAAGAGGCAGACCUUCGUGCCUUACGAGAGUUCAUUUCUACAAAAAAACCGCAUGCUAUUUGUGUGGGUGGCGAGUCUCGAGAAGCUCUCAUGAUUGUUGCAGAUGUAAAAGAGAUCAUCGCAAAUCUAGUAGAGGAUGAGCAGUUUCCAAUGAUCCCUGUUGAAAUUGUUGACAAUGAAUUAUCAAAGAUCUAUGCCAAUUCAAAUAAAGGAAUUAGUGAUUUUCGAGAAUAUCCUCUCCUACUACGGCAAGCUGUUUCUCUUGCCAGGCGCCUGCAAGAUCCCCUCAUAGAAUUCUCUCAAUUAUGUACAUCAGAUGAUGAAAUUCUAUGCCUUCGAUAUCACGCAUUACAAGACCAGCUAAGCAAAGAAGAGCUCUUGGAUGCCUUGACCAUCGAGUUUGUGAAUCGAACCAACGAAGUAGGUGUGGACAUCAAUGAAACUGUGCAGCAAGUUUACGCCAGCAAUCUAGUUCAAUUUGUUUGUGGGUUGGGGCCCAGGAAAGCUGCAGCAUUGUUAAAAUUACUAAAACAAACAAACCAACAACUAGAAAACCGAACUCAACUGGUCACCUCUUGUCAUAUGGGUCCUAAAGUAUUCACCAAUUGUGCAGGUUUCAUCAAAAUCGAUAUCACUUCGCUUGGUGAUAGUACAGAUCCGUAUGUAGAAGUUUUGGAUGGUUCUCGAAUUCAUCCAGAAAGGUAUGAAUGGGCCCAAAAAAUGGCAGCAGAUGCCCUGAAGUAUGAAGAUAAUCAUGCAAAUCCAGCUUUUGCCUUAGAAGAAGUUCUUGAAGCACCAGAAAGGUUAAAAGACUUGGACUUAGACGCAUUUGCUGAGGAGUUGGAGCGACAAGGUUUUGGCAACAUGAGUAUUACUCUGUAUGACAUCCGUGCUGAGUUGAACCAUCGUUAUAAGGAUCUGCGUACUCCUUAUCGGUCACCAAAUCCAGAGGAGUUAUUUAAUAUGUUGACCAAAGAGACCCCAGAAACAUUCUAUAUUGGAAAAAUGAUUUCAGCAGUCGUUUCAGGAAUCUCAAGAAAGCAGCCAACGCCUGAACAGCUUGACAAAGCCAACCCUAUUCGAAAUGAAGAAACAGGCUUGUGGCAAUGUCCUCUUUGCUUCAAAAAUGAUUUCCCAAAAUUGUCAGAAGUAUGGUAUCAUUUCAGUACUUCCAAAGGCUGUCCUGGAUCUGCAACUGGAGUCAAAAUCAGGCUAGACAACGGCGUCUCCGGCUUUAUUCAUAUUAAAAAUCUAUCAGACAAGUGUGUCACGGAUCCUGAAGAGAGGGUGCAGCGAAAUCAAGUAAUCCAAUGUCGGAUAAUAAAAAUCGAUGUGGAAAGGUUUUCAAUAGAUGCCACCUCCAAAUUCUCAGACUUACUUGACAAGAAUCGUAAGUGGAGACCCCCCAAAGACCCUCUCUAUGACCUAGGAGCGGGAAUGAAAGAUAAGAAGACUGAAGAUGAUGCCAUGCAACAAAAGAAGCGGCAGACUCAUAUCAAACGAGUCAUAGUCCAUCCCUCCUUCCACCACAUAUCCUAUAUAGAAGCAGAAGCUCUCAUGGCCUCAAUGGAGCCUGGUGAAGUUAUUGUUCGGCCAUCCAGUCAGGGAGCUAACAAUCUCUCAGUAACGUGGAAGGUCGCUGAUGGUAUUUGUCAACAUAUUGCCGUCAAAGAAGUGGACAAAGGAAAUGCUUUUUCACUUGGGCCAACAUUGCUGAUUGAUAAUGAGGAGUUUGAGGACAUUGAUGAAAUCAUUGCACUACAUAUUAACCCCAUGGCUGCAUACUGCCGGGAUAUUUUUUCAUUUAGGUAUUACCGAAACACAGAUGGAGGUUUGAAAGAUAAAGCUGAAGAAAUAAUUAAGGAAGAAAGAAAGCAAAAUCCAUCCAAAAUUCACUACAUAAUCUCUGUGAGCAAGGACUACCCUGGAAAAUUCUUAUUAUCGUAUCUGCCACAAACUCGAUGCAAACAUGAGUAUGUAACAGUGACAGCGGAAGGAUAUCGUUAUAGAGGACAAAUAUUUGACAGCAUAAGUAGCUUGUUCCGUUGGUUCAAGGAACAUUUCAGAGAUGCUAUUCCAGAAACACGAAGCACUCUGAGAUCUGUAAACAUGAAAAGCACACCAUUCCAGCCUCACACACCAAAUAUGCUGAACAGAGUGUAGACAUGUAAAGGGUACCAUUGCCAAUAGGUCUUAUGCCCACCCCUCACUAUCCGCAGACUCCAGCGGCCUAUGCAGCUGCAGCCAUGUUGGCGCAUCCCAACAAAGAGGAACUUAGAUACUUCAUGGUUUAAUGCAAAAUCAGUGGUGAUUCUAUUAACAUAACUGAUCCUCCCGCUGAGCUAUGUAAUAUGAAGUUCAGGCAGAUGGCACUUCUACUGGUAGCUACUUUCAAAUGAGAACGGUCAAACCAAUGAAUUUGCAGAUUUCCUUUUUGGCUUUGUAUCAAUUCCAUCAGCUUUAUUUUUGGCACCAGAUCAAGGUUAUUCCCUCUUAAUCAUGAUCAGAUGUUAGUAUUAAGUUUUAUAUGGUGGCAUUCUUUUUAUAUUCCCUCAGUUUUUUUUAAUGAUCAUUACCAUAGAAACUUAAUCAGUUAUAUUAUUUGUGUUGGAAAUAGGUUUUUGUUGCUAAAUCUAAACUCUGCGCUAUUUUGGCUCCAAGGAGCAUCAUCUAAUUAUUUCUCCCCCUUUUAGUAAUUUUAGAACCAGAUAUUCUAUUUUAUAUUGUAGUUUGUUUUUUUCUCAAUCCUCUCAUUAUAAUCAAAUAUUCAGUGCUGUACCUCUCAUUCCCAGAAAUCAGUACAAUUUUUUAACAUAACUUCACUUUUAUUAGAUACCGAGAUAAUCCUUAGCACUUGGUGCAGAAAAGGCACUUCCCGAUUACGGUGUCCCGGAAUCUGUACCAAUAUUCCGAUCAUUUUGGCCACAGAGCAAAUGUAUGUGAUUCAUUGAAACUUUUACGAAUCUUUCUUUAUUAUUCUACAGCUCUAAACGAAACAUUGCAUGAAAUUCAACCUGAAGGUAGUGCUUCAUAAAAUUAAUUAGCAGUAAAGAUUCUGCAACCUGUAA